rnacentral:misc_RNA from 1 species
CUUAAAUCUCGCAAGGGGGUGACGUGACGCUAAAAAUAGCUCGUCAAUGAGUACUGAGUGACGUAACAAUGGGAAUUCCGGUUUUUAAAAGAGUUGUUGUAGAAACGACGCAUCACUAGAAACUGGGAGAUAUUUUCAUAAAUACCCGAAGUCAGAGAGAUGGGAUCAUGUAUCGCCUCACGACAGCCAUCAUGCACUCUAACAUGGUCGCACUUCGAGCCACACAGAGACUCUUCUUGCUGACAAUAUGUAAAGCAGCAACUUCCGCAAUGUGGCUACUUGCAGUUUUGCCGGGGAUCACUUUAGCGGAGCAUGACAAUGAGGGAUGCGACUGGGGAAUAUAUGGCGAGAACUGCGACAGGACCUGCCCCUCCAACUGUGCCAUUGUCCCACCCAGAAACCUCAGACACUGUCUGAAGCACACAGGGAAAUGUUCUGAGGGAUGUGUUCGUGGUUACCAUGGCGACCAUUGUAACAUAUUCUGCAGCGGAGGCUGUUUAAACGAAACCUGCAAUAACGGAGAUGGACAUUGUACGUUAGGUUGUAAAGAGACGUACAUCGGGGAUUUCUGCAAUGAGACUUCAGGUAUUUUGGCAGUCCCAUCCACAGUCACGACCACGGCAGGCCCCGAUGACAACAAUCUUGCUGCGAUCCUUGUCCCAGUAUUCCUCAUUAUCCUCAUCGUCUGUAUCAUCCUUGCUGUAGUGGUGUUCAGACUGAGAUCGAGGAGAAGGGCAGAAUCGAAAAGAAGAUACCCCAAUAACGAAUACAGUACACCAGAAGCUGCUCCCUUGAAGCCGCACGAUACAGUUCCCUUGAUAGAGAAGCAGCCUGAAGCGGUGCAGCCUGAAGCAGACCCUUCCGAAUCACCAGGAAACGAGGAUACACAUAAGAUUGUUCCCGACACUGACAAGCAGCUGACAGAUCAGCCGUCCAGGGAGAAAGACAUCAGUGACCUGUUCGUGGAAACUGAGGGUUACCGGGAGGUUAAAGACAAACUGGAAACACUUGGCCACGUGACAAUAACUGGUGCCCCGGGAGCAGGUAAAACAUCCAUGGCCCUGAUGCUGGGAGCUGAAUUCAGGAGACAGGGGUAUGAGCUGGUACUGGUUGAGGACGUUGGUACUUUCCAGUUGUCUGAUAUUCUGUCAAAGGACAAAGACAUCUGUGUCAUAUUCGAUGACAUAUUUCAGAACGUUGGGCCAUCAAUGGACGUACAUCGCCUGAGACAAGUUCUGUAUGAGCUCCAUGGACAUCUUGAACCCUGGAAAACCAAGUUGGAAAGAAGAUACAACAUCCUGCAGCAGACACCAGGAACGGAACAAAGAAGAAAAGAUCGUCUGAACUUGUAUUUUAUAUUUACCACAGAUUCCAACAACCUUGAACAAGCAAGGCCAAAACUCAAAGAACCUAUAUUGUUCCAAAACUCUUCAGUAGUAGACCUGACCAACUGGAAGACAGGUGAAGAGAAGAAGGCCAUAUGGUUGAAACAUAAAGAUCAUUCCGACUGUAAAACUGAGGUCAACGUGAACAUAAUCAUAGCAUACGAAAAUAGAACUGGGUUUCCUCUUGCAUGCAAGCUUUUCUCAAGAUAUGCUCCCUUCCAAAAACACAAAGAAUCGUUUUUGGAAAUGCCUGAAUUCCAUCUAAAACAGGAACUGCAUAAGAACAUAAAUCACCUGGACGAUCUGUCAGUAAAGUUACUGUUGAGGUCACUAUGUGGAGGUGAACAGAAUACAAGAACACACCACACUGGAUCUGACAACAAAGUACAAGACACACACCUGAAGGAUGUUUUAGACCUUGUCUCAUGUUCCCAUCCUCUAAUACAAGACAUGUGUAUGUCUGCCAUAUUGGAUACUAAACCAGAGCUGUUCCUCCAUAACUGUAGUUUAAAGUUCAUCUGUGACCAUGUACGUGACCAGCAGCAUGACACCGCUCCAGCAGAACAGACUGUCAUUUAUUUCCCAGGUGCUCACAGUGACGCCAUCACCACCAGACUGGCUGAAGCUGUUGCUGAUGGCACGUUCACUAACUACAUCAAGCAUCCCAUCUGGAAAAGGAAGGAAGUUGCAGACAAAGUGCAUCAAAUGUUUCCAUAUGACGGAACCAAGUCUCAUGAAACAAAGCACUGCAUUCUCCAUUAUGCCUGUUUCCUCGGGAACAACGACAUCAUAGACCGACUCCUCCACCAUUGUGACGUCAACAGACGUGCUGUGAAUGGUUGGACGCCAGUUAUGUUUGCAGUUGCUGGUGGACAGAUGGAUAGUUUGAAAAUUCUAGUGGUUCAUAAAGCUGAUAUCAGACUGUGUGAUGCCAUGAACAAUAACCUGUUCCAUUUGGCUUGUCAAUAUGGAAGCAUUUCACUUCUCCAAUAUGUUGAAAAAAAGCUGAAGAAAAGUAACACUUGUCAUAUCAACAGUCGAGGAGUGAAUGGCUGGACACCAAUUAUGCAUGCAACAGUCGCGGGCAAGAAUGAUAUCUUUGAUUAUCUAGUCAAACAAGGCAAACGUGACUUAACCUUACGGGAUAGCAAUAACAACACUGUUCUUCAUCUGGCAUGUAUGUAUGCCAAUAAAACCAUUGUUAAUUCGUUGUUGCCAUCAACAGACAAAUAUUGUCAAGGGAAUAACGGCAUGACGCCUGUGAUGUGUGCUCUAUUGUCAGGGAGGAUGGAUGUGUUCGACCUCCUCGUGUCACAGAAUGCAGACACGGCAUUGACUGACGAUAAUAACAACAGUCUCCUUCAUUUAGCCUGCCUCCUUGAUGACAUACCCGACAUUCUACUGACAAAGAUUGACGCUGAUAUUCAAGGAAAUCACGGUUGGACACCUCUAAUGAAGGCAGCUAUCAAUGGAUCAAAACAUGCAUUUGACCAGCUGGACAAAGCAAAGACUAAUCUUUACUUGAAAGACGACUACAACAACAAUAUCCUUCACCUGGCAUGUCAUGGUGGACAUGUCUCCAUUGUGAAACAUCUACUGACAGUGUUUGGCAUCGACACCCGUGGGAAUAAAGGAUGGACGCCAGUUAUGUAUGCAGCUGCCAGUGGAGCGAAGGACGUGUUUGACCUGCUUGUGUCACAGGGGGCUGACGUAUCCUUGAAGGAUGACUACAACAACUCUGUAUUUCACUUAGCAUGUGUAGGUGGGAGCCUAUCCAUUGUGAAAUGUCUACUGCCAAAAUCUAAAGUCAAUAGUUCGGAUUAUCUCGGGAGAACUGCAAUUAUGAAAGCUGCUGAGUCAGGGCACAUUCGUGUUUUUGAUUUUCUUGUGUCACAAAAAGUGGAUCUGGAACUGACUGACCACUUCAAUAACACCGUCUUACAUUUUGCAUGUGAGGGCGGGAAUGUAGCCAUUCUUGAACAUUUGCUGACAACAGCUGACCUCAAUGCGAGGGGAACGAAUGGCUGGUCACCAGUUAUCGUAGCAGCUCGAUUUGGAAAGUCAGAUGUUUUCAACUUGCUUGUUUCAAAAGAAGUGGAUCUCACUCUGAAAGACGACCACGGUAACAACAUGCUUCACCUCGCAUGUCAGGGAGGAAACAUGUCGAUCACAGAGCAUCUGCUACCACUGUUUGACAUCAACAGCCGUGGACAGGAUGGCAGGACGCCUGUGAUGUACGCAGCUGAAAACGGAGUGAAGAGCGUGUUUGAUCUGCUUGUCUCAAAGGGAGCUGAUACUUCGCUGAAAGAUGACCACAACAAUUCUGUGUUUCAUUUAGCUUGUUUUGGUGGAAAUAAGUCAAUAGUGGAACAACUACAUCCAAAUGUUGACAUCAACAGUUUGGCAGACAGUGGGAGAACAGCAAUCAUGAAGGCAGCUUCUGCCAGAAACAAAAAUGUUUUUAAUUUUCUGGUCUCAGAGAACGCCGAUCUGAAAGUGAUUGAUGACUACAGAGACAGUGUCCUUCACUUAGCAUGUAAGGGAGGCGAGACGACGAUCGUUCAGUGUGUUCUUCAAAAGCUUGACAUCAAUACCAGGGGAAAGAAGGGUUUGACACCAGCGAUGAUAGCAGCCUCGUUAGGAAACAGACAUCUAUUCAACGUGCUUGUGUCACAGCAAGCAGAUCUCACUCUAACUGACGACCAUGGUAACAACAUGCUUCAUCUCGCCUGUCAAGGAGGAAACAGGUCUAUCAUAGUGCAUCUGUUUCCAGGUGGCAUCCACACUCGUGGACAAGAUGGCAGGACAGCUGUUAUGUACGCAGCCCUGAAUGGAGUGAAGAACGUGUUUGACCUUGUCUCUACGUUAACAGACAUGUCACUUAAGGAUGAUUACAAUUCACCCAUAUUUCACUUGGCUUGUCGUGGUGGAAACACUUCAAUUGUAGAAUACCUCCUACAGCAGAGUGAUAUCAAUCACCGGGGAUUCAACAAUAGGACAGCUUUAAUGGAGGCAGCUUUGGCAGGCAAAACUAAUGUUUUUCGUCUGCUGGUGUCAAAGGAUGCUGAGCUGAAUCUAACCGAUGACUACAAUGAUAACGUUCUACAUUUUGCAUGUCUUGGCGGAGACACAGUCAUUGUGAGGAAUCUUCUGAAGGUUCUGGACAUUAAUGCUAAAGGACGGAAUGGCUGCACACCAGUUAUGCAUGCAGCCUGGGCAGGACAGAGGGAUGUGUUCAGUCUCCUUGUGUCACAAAGCGUUGAGAUGGAGCUGCUGGAUCUCUCCAGGAACAAUUUACUACAUCUUGCUUGUCAGGGAGGAAACACGUCCAUCAUAAAGUAUCUCCUGCCUCUGUUUGACAUCAACAGUCCGGGAGAAGAUGGAUGGACGCCAAUAAUGAUGGCAGCUCUCAGUGGAAAGAUGGAGGCUUAUGACUUGAUUGUAACAACUGGUGGUAUUCCAUCUUUGACUACUCCACAGAAUGAUAAUGUUCUUCACGCAGCUUGUCAAGGUGGGAACAAAGCCAUUGUUAGGAAGGUCAUUGGCAGCUUUGGCAUCAACACAAGGGGUAAGAAUGGUUGCACGCCUCUAAUGAGAGCUGUUGUUGGAGGCCAUAUGAGUAUGAUGAAGUUCCUGAUGUCCCGGAAUGCUGACCAUACUCUGGUGGACAAGGAUGGACUCACUCUUCUACAUCUUGCGUGCAAAUUCGGUCACCUUGACAUUGUGAAGCAUAUCUCAGACAAGUUCAAUAUAGACACUCAAGACAAAGGUGGUUUAACAUGCAUCGUGACAUCAGUGUUACAUGGUAAAGUUGCAGUGUUUGACUACCUGAGAAGUAGAGGCGCUAUUCUGACACUGGUUGACAGUACAGGGGAUGACGCCUUGAACAUUGCCUAUAAAGUGAACUGCAGACAAAUCAUAGAAACACUUAUAUCAGGUGGAGCGUCAGAGAGGAAUGUCAAGCCAUUGGAUCACUUGGUGAGGUCAAUACUGAGGUCUGACGUUUACAAUCUGAAUAUGUACAAGCCAGACACAGCUUAAACUCGGGAGCUAGAGAUACAAAAAUGGUAAAAUAAAUCAAGAAAAUGACACCAUUGAUUAUACCGAUAAAGUCGGUAAAGGGGCUUGUACUUAACUCGAAGUCUGCAGUUACAGACGUCUUUGAUAAGCGGAACAAGAACUUACCUUGAAGGACUACAGUUGAAGGAGCCUGUAGUACAGGAGGCAAGUAUUUAGCUUGAAGGGCAACAGUUAGAAAGUCCCCUCUGAAGGGAGAAGUGUUUUGACUUGAAGGCCUACAUUUAACGACGUCCGUGCUAGAGGACACAAAUACGUAGCUUUAAGGUCUACAGCUGAAGAAAUCAUUGAUAAAGGAGGCAAAUACGUAGCUUGAAGGUCUACAGUUGAAGAAAUCAUUGAUAAAGGAGACAAAUGCGUAGCUUGAAGGACUACAGUUCAAGAAAUCAUUGAUAAAGGAGACAAGUACUUAGCUUGAAGGUCUACAGUUGAACAAAUCAUUGAUAAAGGAGACAAAUACGUAGCUUGAAGGUCUACAGCUGAAGAAAUUUUUGAUAAAGGAGACAAAUACGGAGCUUAAAGGU